CCUACGGGUGGCAGCAGUGGGGAAUAUUGCGCAAUGGGCGAAAGCCUGACGCAGCGACGCCGCGUGAGGGAUGAAGGUCUUCGGAUCGUAAACCUCUGUCAGCAGGGAAGAACGGUCACUGUGCUAAUCAGCAGUGAAUUGACGGUACCUGCAAAGGAAGCACCGGCUAACUCCGUGCCAGCAGCCGCGGUAAUACGGAGGGUGCGAGCGUUAAUCGGAAUUACUGGGCGUAAAGCGCUCGUAGGCGGUAUGGCAAGUCAAGGGUGAAAUCCCCGCGCUCAACGUGGGAACUGCCUUUGAAACUGGCAAACUGGAGUGUGUGAGAGGAUAGUGGAAUUCCAGGGGGAGGAGUGAAAGCCGUAGAUAUCUGGAGGAACAUCAGUGGCGAAGGCGACUAUCUGGCACAUAACUGACGCUGAGGAGCGAAAGCGUGGGUAGCAAACAGGAUUAGAUACCCCAGUAGUC
rnacentral:rRNA from 1 species